rnacentral:lncRNA from 1 species
GUUGAUAUCUAAGAACCUUUCCAGAAAAAGAAGUUUUGCACUAGAUGUUGAGAAGUUUACAUUGGAUCCUUAAGACAAGAAGAUAGAACAACCAUAGUAAGGAAGACAAGGGUGCUUUGAGGCAGAGAAGAGGAAGGAAUGAAUACCAGAUCCUGGGAAUAGUAAGUAUAAUGAUACAGCUAUGGGAAAUAAAGUAUUUUAUGUGA